rnacentral:rRNA from 1 species
UACGGGGGGGGCAAGCGCUGUUCGGAAUUACGGGGCGUAAAGGGCUCGUAGGCGGCCAACUAAGUCCGACGUGAAAUCCCCAGGCUUAACCUGGGAACUGCGUCGGAUACUGGAUGGCUUGAAUUCGGGAGAGGGAUGCAGAAUUCCAGGUGUAGCGGUGAAAUGCGUAGAUAUCUGGAGGAAUACCGGUGGCGAAGGCGGCAUCCUGGACCGACAUUGACGCUGAUGAGCGAAAGCUAGGGGAGCAAACGGG